rnacentral:rRNA from 1 species
AGGGUUUGAUCCUGGCUCAGGAUGAACGCUGGCGGCGUGCUUAACACAUGCAAGUCGAACGAGCCUUCGGGCUAGUGGCGGACGGGUGAGUAACGCGUGAGAAUCUGCCCUCAGGAGGGGGAUAACGGCUGGAAACGGCCGCUAAUACCCCAUAUGCCGCGAGGUGAAAUGAGAAAUCGCCUGAGGAUGAGCUCGCGUCUGAUUAGCUAGUUGGUGGGGUAAGAGCCUACCAAGGCAUCGAUCAGUAGCUGGUCUGAGAGGAUGAUCAGCCACACUGGGACUGAGACACGGCCCAGACUCCUACGGGAGGCAGCAGUGGGGAAUUUUCCGCAAUGGGCGCAAGCCUGACGGAGCAACGCCGCGUGAGGGAUGAAGGCCUCUGGGCUGUAAACCUCUUUUCUCAAGGAAGAAGAACUGACGGUACUUGAGGAAUAAGCCACGGCUAAUUCCGUGCCAGCAGCCGCGGUAAUACGGGAGUGGCAAGCGUUAUCCGGAAUUAUUGGGCGUAAAGCGUCCGCAGGCGGUCUUGAAAGUCUGUUGUUAAAGCGUGGAGCUCAACUCCAUUUCAGCAAUGGAAACUAGAAGACUAGAGUGUGGUAGGGGCAGAGGGAAUUCCCGGUGUAGCGGUGAAAUGCGUAGAUAUCGGGAAGAACACCAGUGGCGAAGGCGCUCUGCUGGGCCAUAACUGACGCUCAUGGACGAAAGCCAGGGGAGCGAAAGGGAUUAGAUACCCCUGUAGUCCUGGCCGUAAACGAUGAACACUAGGUGUCGGGGGAAUCGACCCCCUCGGUGUCGUAGCCAACGCGUUAAGUGUUCCGCCUGGGGAGUACGCACGCAAGUGUGAAACUCAAAGGAAUUGACGGGGGCCCGCACAAGCGGUGGAGUAUGUGGUUUAAUUCGAUGCAACGCGAAGAACCUUACCAGGGUUUGACAUCCUGCGAAUCUUUUGGAAACAGAAGAGUGCCUUCGGGAGCGCAGAGACAGGUGGUGCAUGGCUGUCGUCAGCUCGUGUCGUGAGAUGUUGGGUUAAGUCCCGCAACGAGCGCAACCCACGUCUUUAGUUGCCAGCAUUGAGUUGGGCACUCUAGAGAGACCGCCGGUGAUAAACCGGAGGAAGGUGUGGAUGACGUCAAGUCAUCAUGCCCCUUACAUCCUGGGCUACACACGUACUACAAUGCUACGGACAGAGGGCAGCAAACUCGCGAGAGCUAGCAAAUCCCAUAAACCGUGGCUCAGUUCAGAUCGUAGGCUGCAACUCGCCUACGUGAAGGAGGAAUCGCUAGUAAUCGCAGGUCAGCAUACUGCGGUGAAUACGUUCCCGGGCCUUGUACACACCGCCCGUCACACCAUGGAAGUUGGCCAUGCCCGAAGUCGUUACUC